CUUGCUCUGUGGAUCAGUGGCGAACGGGUGAGUAACACGUGAGCAAUCUGCCCCUGACUCUGGGAUAAGCGCUGGAAACGGCGUCUAAUACCGGAUACGAGCUGCGACCGCAUGGUCAGUAGCUGGAAAGAAUUUCGGUCAGGGAUGAGCUCGCGGCCUAUCAGCUUGUUGGUGAGGUAAUGGCUCACCAAGGCGUCGACGGGUAGCCGGCCUGAGAGGGUGACCGGCCACACUGGGACUGAGACACGGCCCAGACUCCUACGGGAGGCAGCAGUGGGGAAUAUUGCACAAUGGGCGAAAGCCUGAUGCAGCAACGCCGCGUGAGGGAUGACGGCCUUCGGGUUGUAAACCUCUUUUAGCAGGGAAGAAGCGAAAGUGACGGUACCUGCAGAAAAAGCGCCGGCUAACUACGUGCCAGCAGCCGCGGUAAUACGUAGGGCGCAAGCGUUAUCCGGAAUUAUUGGGCGUAAAGAGCUCGUAGGCGGUCUGUCGCGUCUGCUGUGAAAACCCGAGGCUCAACCUCGGGCCUGCAGUGGGUACGGGCAGACUAGAGUGCGGUAGGGGAGAUUGGAAUUCCUGGUGUAGCGGUGGAAUGCGCAGAUAUCAGGAGGAACACCGAUGGCGAAGGCAGAUCUCUGGGCCGUAACUGACGCUGAGGAGCGAAAGGGUGGGGAGCAAACAGGCUUAGAUACCCUGGUAG
rnacentral:rRNA from 1 species